rnacentral:tRNA from 1 species
GGGCGGUUAGCUCAGUUGGUUAGAGCGUACGCUUCACACGCGUAAGGUCACAGGUCCGAUUCCUGUACCGCCCA